GGUAGGCUUUGAGAUGAUUGAUGCAAUUGCUGAGUCGUAGGGGAUUCCUAUGAACACUGCCCAUUCCAAGCCAUUUUCGGAAAAGGGAUAGGAAAAUCUCGAAAUUGACAAUGACUGCUAAAGGAAUACCAGUAUUUUCGGCAGUUUAAGCUCUGACAGAGUGGAUGGUGUUUAGCUCCCUUAGAUUCUUGGGAGGCUUUGCAGCUGCCCUGAUUGAUGAUCCUCUGUGGGUCAUGAACACUGUCCCUAUUGAGGCCGAGUUCAACACCCUCGGUGUCAUAUAUGAACGUGGAUUGAUUGGAACCUACCAAAACUGGUUUAUGGCUGAUCCAUCUACACCUACACGACCACAAAGUGAGGACCAAAGUCAAUCGUCUACCCAACCAAGUGUAGACGAGCGACUAGGCUAAAAGACUUGACUGUUAGUCGUAAUGUUGAUCAGAAAUUGCCCAUUCAAUUUGAUAUGAGUACAGGAAAAGUUAUUGGAGACAACCGUGCAAGAUUCACUAGCUUUGUGGCCUUACUUGGUAGAAGUAUUGUUAGUAUUCUUACUUGGUAGAAACUUGGCUACACUUAAAUAGUAUAUGUACAUUAAUGUAAUAUUUGGAUUUAAUAUAUAGUUUCAUGUAUAAAUGAUGUAUUAAAUAUUAGACUAUUUAACUUUUGAAAUGAAUUCUAUUUUGUUAGUUUCAAUAAAUUUGUUUAUUUAAAGCUA